rnacentral:rRNA from 1 species
UACGGGGGGAGCAAGCGUUGUUCGGAUUUACUGGGCGUAAAGGGCGCGUAGGCGGUCGUGACAAGUCACUUGUGAAAUCUCCGGGCUUAACUCGGAACGGUCAAGUGAUACUGUCGGACUAGAGUACAGAAGGGGCAACUGGAAUUCUCGGUGUAGCGGUGAAAAUGCGUAGAUAUCGAGAGGAACACCUGCGGCGAAGGCGGGUUGCUGGGCUGAUACUGACGUGAGGCGCGAAAGCCAGGGGAGCGAACGGGG